rnacentral:pre_miRNA from 1 species
AGGCAAGAUGCUGGCAUAGCUGAUAAACUAUUUAUUACCAGCUAUUCAGGAUCUUUCCCUG